rnacentral:tRNA from 1 species
GCUGACGAAGCGUUGCAGGUGUACGCGCUGGGCUGUGGACCCGGAGUAAGAGGUUCGAGUCCUCUCGUCAGUUCCA